rnacentral:rRNA from 1 species
GACGAACGCUGGCGGCGUGCCUAAUACAUGCAAGUCGAACGGUCUUUUCUAUGGAAGCUUGCUUCCACUGAGAAGAUAGUGGCGAACGGGUGAGUAACACGUGGGUAACCUGCCCAUAAGAGGGGGAUAACAUCCGGAAACGGGUGCUAAUACCGCAUAGUUUUCUUGAUCGCAUGAUCGAGAAAGGAAAGACGGCCUUUGUGCUGUCGCUUAUGGAUGGACCCGCGGCGUAUUAGUUAGUUGGUGAGGUAACGGCUCACCAAGACGAUGAUACUUAGCCGACCUGAGAGGGUGAUCGGCCACAUUGGGACUGAGGCAAGGCCCAAACUCCUACGGGAGGCAGCAGUAGGGAAUCUUCCGCAAUGGACGAAAGUCUGACGGAGCAACGCCGCGUGAGUGAAGAAGGUUUUCGGAUCGUAAAACUCUGUUGUCAGAGAAGAACAAGUCGGAGAGUAACUGCUCCGGCCUUGACGGUAUCUGACCAGAAAGCCACGGCUAACUACGUGCCAGCCGCCGCGGUAAGAC